CCUACGGGUGGCAGCAGUGGGGAAUAUUGGACAAUGGGCGAAAGCCUGAUCCAGCCAUGCCGCGUGUGUGAAGAAGGCCUUCGGGUUGUAAAGCACUUUCAGUGGGGAAGAAAGCCUUGGGGCUAAUACCCUCGAGGAAGGACAUCACCCACAGAAGAAGCACCGGCUAACUCCGUGCCAGCAGCCGCGGUAAUACGGAGGGUGCGAGCGUUAAUCGGAAUUACUGGGCGUAAAGCGCGCGUAGGCGGUCUGAUAAGCCGGUUGUGAGAGCCCCGGACUCAACCUGGGAACGGCAUCCGGAACUGUCAGGCUAGAGUGCAGGAGAGGAAGGUAGAAUUCCCGGUGUAGCGGUGAAAUGCGUAGAGAUCGGGAGGAAUACCAGUGGCGAAGGCGGCCUUCUGGACUGACACUGACGCUGAGGUGCGAAAGCGUGGGUAGCAAACAGGAUUAGAUACCCCUGUAGUC
rnacentral:rRNA from 1 species